UACGAAGGGGGCUAGCGUUGUUCGGAAUCACUGGGCGUAAAGGCGCGUAGGCGGCCGAUCAAAUCGGGGGUGAAAGCCUGUGGCUCAACCACAGAAUUGCCUUCGAUACUGUUUGGCUUGAGACCGGAAGAGGUUAGUGGAACUGCGAGUGUAGAGGUGAAAUUCGUAGAUAUUCGCAAGAACACCAGUGGCGAAGGCGGCUCACUGGCCCGUUACUGACGCUGAGGCACGAAAGCGUGGGGAGCAAACAGGG
rnacentral:rRNA from 1 species